AUGCGGUGAUGAUACGAAGAGAACGGUUUCGCAAACUCCUGAUAUUUUGUGACGAUUGAAUCUCUUGGCUGUCUGAGCAU